rnacentral:rRNA from 1 species
AUUGAACGCUGGCGGCAGGCCUAACACAUGCAAGUCGGACGGUAGCACAGAGGAGCUUGCUCCUCGGGUGACGAGUGGCGGACGGGUGAGUAAUGUCUGGGGAUCUGCCCGAUAGAGGGGGAUAACCACUGGAAACGGUGGCUAAUACCGCAUAACGUCGAAAGACCAAAGAGGGGGACCUUCGGGCCUCUCACUAUCGGAUGAACCCAGAUGGGAUUAGCUAGUAGGCGGGGUAACGGCCCACCUAAGCGACGAUCCCUAGCUGGUCUGAGAGGAUGACCAGCCACACUGGAACUGAGACACGGUCCAGACUCCUACGGGAGGCAGCAGUGGGGAAUAUUGCACAAUGGGCGCAAGCCUGAUGCAGCCAUGCCGCGUGUAUGAAGAAGGCCUUCGGGUUGUAAAGUACUUUCAGCGGGGAGGAAGGCGAUGUGGUUAAUAACCGCGUCGAUUGACGUUACCCGCAGAAGAAGCACCGGCUAACUCCGUGCCAGCCGCCGCCGUAA